CCAAUCCGGUUGGUGAAUGGAAACUGCAGACCCCACCACUGUAGAGUCGCAGUGCAGGCAGCAGGAUGGGUGGGAGUUGGGAUCAUCCCACCCCGGGACUGAGAAGCUGGGUGUGAAAGUUGAAGAACAUCCAUCUGGAAACGGAUCUUUGCCAUCUCCUCUGGCUUCUACUUUACAUGUGGAGAAACUGGAGCCAACAGGAGCCCUUCCGCCUUGUUCUGUCUCUCGAAUGCAUUGAGAUCCAGGACGCUGAGGGGAAGAAAGGGAAGAUGGGAAGAGGUGCUGAGGUCCUGUUGCGGAGCCCUGCAGCAGCCCCCGGCGAUGGCAGUUGGAGGACCACUGGAAACCAUGAAUGAGCAGAGAUCAAGAGGAAGUAGAAACUAAGAGCUGGCAGAAACUAUGUGGUGGGGGCUGUGAAGUAAUGUGAGGCAAGGAUGAAAUAUGUACAAGUGGAAAUCAGGAGGAUACAGAAGCCAUCAAUUAGCAGAAGUUUCAGAGGGUAGAGGAAGCCAGUCAACAGCAAGAGCAGAGUCACAUUAAUAGGGGUCAUUGGAGAGAACCCAGAUUCCCUGCUUCUGGGUGUCCCCUGAGUUCUCAACAAUCUUCCAUUUCCAGCUCCCUGGAGCCAUAAGGGUGGCAUUUCCCCAUCCUUGUUGUUGCAGGUGAAUUCUUAUAAUAAACUUCCUGUCACUCGA